rnacentral:rRNA from 1 species
UGGGGAAUCUUGCGCAAUGGGGGAAACCCUGACGCAGCGACGCCGCGUGCGGGAUGAAGGCCUUCGGGUUGUAAACCGCUUUCAGCAGGGACGAGGCCUUAUGGUGACGGUACCUGCAGAAGAAGCUCCGGCUAAAUACGUGCCAGCAGCCGCGGUAAUACGUAUGGAGCAAGCGUUAUCCGGAAUUACUGGGCGUAAAGAGCUCGUAGGCGGUUUGGCACGUCGUCUGUGAAAUCCUAGGGCUUAACCCUGGACGUGCAGGCGAUACGGGCUGAAUUGAGUAAUACAGGGGAGACUGGAAUUUCUGGUGUAGCGGUGGAAUGCACAGAUAUCAGGAAGAACACCGAUGGCGAAGGCAGGUCUCUGGGUAGUAACUGACGCUGAGGAGCGAAAGCAUGGGUAGCGAACAGG